rnacentral:piRNA from 1 species
UUGGCAAACUUACCCCUUCCUUGUGCUUUC